GACGAACGCUGGCGGCGUGCUUAACACAUGCAAGUCGAACGGAAAGGCCCUGCUUUUGUGGGGUGCUCGAGUGGCGAACGGGUGAGUAACACGUGAUUAACCUGCCCUUGACUUUGGGAUAACUUCAGGAAACUGGGGCUAAUACCGGAUAGGAGCUCCUGCUGCAUGGUGGGGGUUGGAAAGUUUCGGCGGUUGGGGAUGGACUCGCGGCUUAUCAGCUUGUUGGUGGGGUAGUGGCUUACCAAGGCUUUGACGGGUAGCCGGCCUGAGAGGGUGACCGGCCACAUUGGGACUGAAAGACGGCCCAGACUCCUACGGGAGGCAGCAGUGAGGAAUAUUGCACGAUGGGCGGAAGCCUGAUGCAGUAACGCAGCGUGCGGGAUGACGGCCUUCGGGUUGUAAACCGCUUUCGCCUGUGACGAAGCGUGAGUGACGGUAAUGGGUAAAGAAGCACCGGCUAAAUACGUG
rnacentral:rRNA from 1 species